UACGAAGGGGGCUAGCGUUGCUCGGAAUCACUGGGCGUAAAGGGUGCGUAGGCGGGUCUUUAAGUCAGGGGUGAAAUCCUGGAGCUCAACUCCAGAACUGCCUUUGAUACUGAGGAUCUUGAGUUCGGGAGAGGUGAGUGGAACUGCGAGUGUAGAGGUGAAAUUCGUAGAUAUUCGCAAGAACACCAGUGGCGAAGGCGGCUCACUGGCCCGGUACUGACGCUGAGGUGCGAAAAGCGUGGGGGAGCAAACAGGG
rnacentral:rRNA from 1 species